rnacentral:ncRNA from 1 species
AAAAACGCUGUGAGAAAGUUGAGUACUAAUUCUGAAACAUAAAGCGAGUUUCGUCAGGUGAAAGAAAGCAUGUUCCAAGUUAGGAAAAUCCCUUUUGAGCGAUGUCCUGAAUAUUAGUAAAGUACAUUGGUAACACCCAUUAUAGUGUUAGCGUAUCGUCUUUAAGACUGUACGUGAAGUGGUAGUUUCUUUGUUGAAGAAACUACAAUAUGAGGUGGUACCGUGCGUCAGCACCCUCUGA